rnacentral:lncRNA from 1 species
CCAUUAUCAUUAGCACAAAAAAAUAAAAAAUGAAAAGUAUAUUUUUUCCUACUACACGUCUACUAUACCCCUUUUUCUUUAACAUGUUUCCUUCAGCUCCCCCCAUUUUUUAUGCUGCAAGAAGCAACUCUCCCACCUUUAUUUUUUAGUUUUUGUUUAUUUAUUUAUAUUUUUCUUCUUUUAUCCUAUUAAGGUCAUCAUAUGCUACCCUCAAUAAAAAAUAUGAACCACAUUUUUCUUUAGUUACAUGAGGUUGUUUUAUGUUUACCGCAAAACAAUAAAAAACUAAAAGCUCGAUUUUAU